rnacentral:rRNA from 1 species
UACGUAGGGGGCUAGCGUUGUCCGGAAUCAUUGGGCGUAAAGCGCGUGUAGGCGGCCCGGUAAGUCCGCUGUGAAAGUCGGGGGCUCAACCCUCGAAAGCCGGUGGAUACUGUCGGGCUCGAGUACGGAAGAGGCGAGUGGAAUUCCUGGUGUAGCGGUGAAAUGCGCAGAUAUCAGGAGGAACACCAAGUGCGAAGGCAGCUCGCUGGGACGUUACUGACGCUGAGACGCGAAAGCGUGGGGAGCAAACAGG